rnacentral:rRNA from 1 species
GGUUAACCGAAUAGGGGAGCCGAAGGGAAACCGAGUCUUAACUGGGCGUUAAGUUGCAGGGUAUAGACCCGAAACCCGGUGAUCUAGCCAUGGGCAGGUUGAAGGUUGGGUAACACUAACUGGAGGACCGAACCGACUAAUGUUGAAAAAUUAGCGGAUGACUUGUGGCUGGGGGUGAAAGGCCAAUCAAACCGGGAGAUAGCUGGUUCUCCCCGAAAGCUAUUUAGGUAGCGCCUCGUGAAUUCAUCUUCGGGGGUAGAGCACUGUUUCGGCUAGGGGGUCAUCCCGACUUACCAACCCGAUGCAAACUGCGAAUACCGAAGAAUGUUAUCACGGGAGACACACGGCGGGUGCUAACGUCCGUCGUGAAGAGGGAAACAACCCAGACCGCCAGCUAAGGUCCCAAAGUCAUGGUUAAGUGGGAAACGAUGUGGGAAGGCACAGACAGCCAGGAUGUUGGCUUAGAAGCAGCCAUCAUUUAAAGAAAGCGUAAUAGCUCACUGGUCGAGUCGGCCUGCGCGGAAGAUGUAACGGGGCUAAACCAUGCACCGAAGCUGCGGCAGCGACACUAUGUGUUGUUGGGUAGGGGAGCGUUCUGUAAGCCGUUGAAGGUGU